rnacentral:rRNA from 1 species
GCUUAGAAGCAGCCAUCAUUUAAAGAAAGCGUAAUAGCUCACUGGUCGAGUCGGCCUGCGCGGAAGAUGUAACGGGGCUAAACCAUGCACCGAAGCUGCGGCAGCGACACUAUGUGUUGUUGGGUAGGGGAGCGUUCUGUAAGCCUGUGAAGGUGUACUGUGAGGUAUGCUGGAGGUAUCAGAAGUGCGAAUGCUGACAUAAGUAACGAUAAAGCGGGUGAAAAGCCCGCUCGCCGGAAGACCAAGGGUUCCUGUCCAACGUUAAUCGGGGCAGGGUGAGUCGACCCCUAAGGCGAGGCCGAAAGGCGUAGUCGAUGGGAAACAGGUUAAUAUUCCUGUACUUGGUGUUACUGCGAAGGGGGGACGGAGAAGGCUAUGUUGGCCGGGCGACGGUUGUCCCGGUUUAAGCGUGUAGGCUGGUUUUCCAGGCAAAUCCGGAAAAUCAAGGCUGAGGCGUGAUGACGAGGCACUACGGUGCUGAAGCGACAAAUGCCCUGCUUCCAGGAAAAGCCUCUAAGCAUCAGGUAACAUCAAAUCGUACCCCAAACCGACACAGGUGGUCAGGUAGAGAAUACCAAGGCGCUUGAGAGAACUCGGGUGAAGGAACUAGGCAAAAUGGUGCCGUAACUUCGGGAGAAGGCACGCUGAUAUGUAGGUGAAGCGACUUGCUCGUGGAGCUGAAAUCAGUCGAAGAUACCAGCUGGCUGCAACUGUUUAUUAAAAACACAGCACUGUGCAAACACGAAAGUGGACGUAUACGGUGUGACGCCUGCCCGGUGCCGGAAGGUUAAUUGAUGGGGUUAGCGGUAACGCGAAGCUCUUGAUCGAAGCCCCGGUAAACGGCGGCCGUAACUAUAACGGUCCUAAGGUAGCGAAAUUCCUUGUCGGGUAAGUUCCGACCUGCACGAAUGGCGUAAUGAUGGCCAGGCUGUCUCCACCCGAGACUCAGUGAAAUUGAACUCGCUGUGAAGAUGCAGUGUACCCGCGGCAAGACGGAAAGACCCCGUGAACCUUUACUAUAGCUUGACACUGAACAUUGAGCCUUGAUGUGUAGGAUAGGUGGGAGGCUUUGAAGUGUGGACGCCAGUCUGCAUGGAGCCGACCUUGAAAUACCACCCUUUAAUGUUUGAUGUUCUAACGUGGGCCCCUUACCGGGGUUGCGGACAGUGUCUGGUGGGUAGUUUGACUGGGGCGGUCUCCUCCUAAAGAGUAACGGAGGAGCACGAAGGUUGGCUAAUCCUGGUCGGACAUCAGGAGGUUAGUGCAAUGGCAUAAGCCAGCUUGACUGCGAGCGUGACGGCGCGAGCAGGUGCGAAAGCAGGUCAUAGUGAUCCGGUGGUUCUGAAUGGAAGGGCCAUCGCU